GAUGAACGCUGGCGGCGUGCUUAACACAUGCAAGUCGAACGGGAUCCAUCAGGCUUUGCUUGGUGGUGAGAGUGGCGAACGGGUGAGUAAUGCGUGACCGACCUGCCCCAUACACCGGAAUAGCUCCUGGAAACGGGUGGUAAUGCCGGAUGCUCCAGUUGAUCGCAUGGUCUUCUGGGAAAGCUUUCGCGGUAUGGGAUGGGGUCGCGUCCUAUCAGCUUGACGGCGGGGUAACGGCCCACCGUGGCUUCGACGGGUAGCCGGCCUGAGAGGGCGACCGGCCACAUUGGGACUGAGAUACGGCCCAGACUCCUACGGGAGGCAGCAGUGGGGAAUAUUGCACAAUGGGCGCAAGCCUGAUGCAGCGACGCCGCGUGAGGGAUGGAGGCCUUCGGGUUGUAAACCUCUUUUAUCGGGGAGCAAGCGAGAGUGAGUUUACCCGUUGAAUA
rnacentral:rRNA from 1 species